rnacentral:rRNA from 1 species
UACGUAGGGGGCAAGCGUUGUUCGGAAUCAUUGGGCGUAAAGAGCGUGUAGGCGGCUCGAUAAGUCUGCUGUGAAAGUCCAGGGCUCAACCCUGGAAGGCCGGUGGAAACUGUCGGGCUAGAGUCCGGAAGAGGCGAGUGGAAUUCCCGGUGUAGCGGUGAAAUGCGCAGAUAUCGGGAGGAACACCAAUGGCGAAGGCAGCUCGCUGGGACGGUACUGACGCUGAGACGCGAAAGCGUGGGGAGCAACAGG